GACGAACGCUGGCGGCGUGCCUAAUACAUGCAAGUAGAACGCUGAAGGAGGAGCUUGCUCUUCUGGAUGAUUUGCGAACGGGUGAGUAACGCGUAGGUAACCUGCCUGGUAGAGGGGGAUAACUAUUGGAAACGAUAGCUAAUACCGCAUAACAGUAGAUGUUGCAUGACAUUUACUUGAAAAGUGCAAUUGCAUCACUACCAGAUGGACCUGCGUUGUAUUAUCUAGUUGGUGGGGUAAAGGCUCACCAAGGCGACGAUACAUAGCCGACCUGAGGGGGGGAUCGGCCACACUGGGACCGGGACACGGCCCCGACUCCCACGGGAGGCAGCAGUAGGGAAACUUCGGCAAUGGACGGAAGUCUGACCGAGCAACGCCGCGGGAGUGAAGAAGGUUUUCGGAUCGUAAAGCUCCGUUGUAAGAGAAGGACGAGUGUGGGAGUGGAAAGUUCACACUGUGACGGUAUCUUACCAGAAAGGGACGGCUAACUACGUG
rnacentral:rRNA from 1 species